UACGGAGGUCUCAAGCGUUGUUCGGAUUCAUUGGGCGUAAAGGGUGUGUAGGUGGCGCUGUAAGUCGGGUGUGAAAUCUCGGGGCUUAACUCCGAAACUGCAUUCGAUACUGCGGUGCUUGAGGACUGGAGAGGAGACUGGAAUUCAUGGUGUAGCAGUGAAAUGCGUAGAGAUCAUGAGGAAGACCAGUGGCGAAGGCGGGUCUCUGGACAGUUCCUGACACUGAGGUGCGAAAGCGUGGGGAGCAAACAGG
rnacentral:rRNA from 1 species